ensembl:lncRNA
GAGAUAAAGAGUGAGGUAAUGAGCAAGUGAGGUAAUGUCCGUGUAAGUAAACUGGAACCCAUAAAGUAUUAUGCAGAGAUGGUCUUAAUAGUACAAGCAGCCCUUGUCUUUCACCCACUUUAAUUUUGUGCUAGCUGAAUGCACAAUUUCUCCUUUGUUUACUUUUCGUAUAUUUAGGCUCUUAUCCAUCGUUCGGAGCUGUUGCAAUGUGGUACCCUCUGCCAUGCCCACAGUGCAGUCUUGCUAGGGUUGAUCUCACUGUUGGUACAGUGGGGUUUUUGUAACAAUUUGAAUACUUUUCAUCCUUUUCUUGUAGUAAUAAUAAUGAGAAGUGGAAAAAUGAGGCUGCUGCUGAGUUUAUCUUUUUUAAUUAAAAAAAAUUUAAAAAAACAUUUUUACAGUGCUGGGGAUUGGACCCAGAACUUUACGCCCAUUUAAAAAACAAAUUUUUUUUUUGAAAUAGAAUCUCACUAAGUUGACCAGGCUGACCUCACACUUGCAGCCCUCCUUCACAAGUAGCUGGGGUUACAGGCAUGUGCCACCAUGCCCAGCAAGGCUGCUGCUGACACUAAUGAAGAGAAGCAUCAGUCUCGCAACUGUGGUGUCAUUAAGUCAAGCACGAUCUUUCUCAGAGUGACCCACAGAGCUAGAACUCUGGAGCUCAAGUGAGGAAACCAGCCUAGUCCCACCACAAGGUCACAGUGCUCAACCAGGGGGCGGGACAAAGGAGAUGGACAGCCCUGCCUGACAGCAAGCCACUUCUCUUUCUCUGACAGCCCAGAGCAAUCGUUUCAUGUGAAGCCGCCUUGAUGGCACGUGUCUGCUUCACAUGGUCAAAGUUUCCGCCAUUUGCAACAUCUUUCCUGGUUGGUCCAGGAAAGGCAGGCUUGAUUGACUGUCCUAAUCUCCAAGUGGGUCAUCCCACUUGCUCUUCUAGAACCUGGCUACUCUAAAGCUUUUGGAGGAGUCAGCGCCCUGCCACAAAAUUGAACAGUAGGGAGAUACUGCCUUCCUCCUAGCAAAUCUUCAAAAGAAAUGUUUGAAUGAUCCUCACUGUUGGAAAGAGUUUGGGGGAAAUGGGCAUUCUCAUGUAUGCUGGUAAAUGGACCUAACUACCUGGAGAACAGCCUGACCACAUGGAGACAGCCAAAGAGACAUGAAUGCCAGACGGUGUAGAUCCAAAGGACCUCUCAUCUAUGGCUGGUGGAAGUGUAAAUUGAGUCCCUAGAGAAAUACUCGCCUCGAACAGCUGAAGAAUUCUGGAUUAUCCGUCAAGAUAUAGCUCAAACAUCAGCUUCUGUGGAAAUGCUUCCCCCACUUUGCCAAGCAACAAGCCCAGCUUCACCUCUUCGGUUCCUGAUUAAUAAAUGAUUUGUGUACCUAUUGCACUGCCUCUCUGGCUGCCAGAGCUAAGCUCAGCGGUCUGUGCACCUUUGGGUUUCCCCUCUUCCUAUCCCUCUCCCCA